CUAUGAACUGUGCUGAUCAAACGUAUAUUUUUGAGGGUUGUUAGUAGUAAAAAAUACUCUUCAGUUAAACCCUGGUGUUUGGCACAACCACGACUGCCUGAUCAGAAGACCUGAGGGACCACUGUGUGUUACAAACAAUAACACUUUGCACAGACAGGAAUAAGUACACAUGAAAACACCACUGUGUUUGCCAUCUGUGCCUGCCAGAUGGAUUGACCCUGAGUGCAGGUCAGAGCCACAUAAGGAGGAUCAGGCAAAUAUACCAAACCUCCUCCUGAGAAAGAGUCUGCAGUGGAGAUGAGGUCUGCUUCUGAAAGCAGUGCACAAACAGCUGGACAGUGAACAUCCUCAGAGGUGACAGUUUUCCAGAAGGAUGCUGUGGUUGGACUUGUUUGAUCCAUUUCCACAUGCUUGUGGUUUUAAAUGCCUGGAAAAGAUGGCUAAUUUACAUUAUGGGCAUUAUUUAAUUCUGGUUGGAUGAGGACAUUUGGUCAAGGCCAUCUUCACAUUUCAAGAAUAUUAUCUUUUGGUUUAUCACAACAUUGGGAUUUCUGUGUUCUCAGCCAUUUCACUGCCCUAUUUCAAGCUGUGUUUUUUAGAUAUGUUUUUUUAUUUAUUUUUAUGUUGUGGCAACUAAAUAAAGAGGCCGUGAGAGAGCUUAA